GAGGUGUAGAAUAGGUGGGAGCUU
rnacentral:ncRNA from 2 species